UCCGCUGUAGCUCAGUGGUAGAGCAACCGGCUGUUAACCGGUUGGUCGCUGGUUCGAGUCCAGCCGGCGGAGCCA
rnacentral:tRNA from 1 species